AACGAACGCUGGCGGCAUGCCUAGCACAUGCAAGUCGAACGAGACCUUCGGGUCUAGUGGCGCACGGGUGCGUAACGCGUGGGAACCUGCCCUUAGGUUCGGAAUAACUCCCCGAAAGGGGUGCUAAUACCGGAUAAUGUCUUCGGACCAAGGAUUUAUCGCCUUUGGAUGGGCCCGCGUUGGAUUAGCUAGUUGGUAGGGUAAAAGCCUACCAAGGCGACGAUCCAUAGCUGGUCUGAGAGGAUGAUCAGCCACACUGGGACUGAGACACGGCCCAGACUCCUACGGGAGGCAGCAGUGGGGAAUAUUGGACAAUGGGCGAAAGCCUGAUCCAGCAAUGCCGCGUGAGUGAUGAAGGCCUUAGGGUUGUAAAGCUCUUUUACCCGGGAUGAUAAUGACAGUACCGGGAGAAUAAGCUCCGGCUAACUCCGUG
rnacentral:rRNA from 1 species